UACAGAGGGUGCAAGCGUUAAUCGGAAUUACUGGGCGUAAAGCGCGCGUAGGCGGCUUGACAAGUCGAGUGUGAAAUCCCCGGGCUUAACCUGGGAGCUGCAUUCGAAACUGUCUUGCUAGAGUAUGGGAGAGGGAGGUGGAAUUUCAGGUGUAGCGGUGAAAUGCGUAGAUAUCUGAAGGAACAUCAGUGGCGAAAGCGGCUUACUGGGUCUCUUCUGACGCUGAGGAACGAAAGCUAGGGUAGCGAACGGG
rnacentral:rRNA from 1 species